GAGACAGAAUCCCAAGCACCAGAGCAGAGUCCAAUGCAGGACUCCAGCUCACGAACUGUGAGAUCAUUACCUGAGCCAAAAUCAAGAGUUGGAUGCUUAACCGGCUGUGCCACCCAGAAGCCCCCAACAGUCAUCUUUCUAAAGGAAGAAACAUGAGCAGAAUUCCUUUAAAAAGCAACAAAGAUCCAGAUUAUGCCCUUGUCAUUGUUUGUAUUUAAGAAUUAACCAGAAGUUUGGGCUAUGCAAUAAUUUCCAAAUGGGCUACUAUGGGUUGUACGUCAAUAAGAAGGACCUUGAUCCCAGAAAUAGGAAGUGGGAUUUAAGAAGCAAUCAUCUGUAAAAAGAACUGGGUAAUUCUUCAUGGUGAGAGAUUGCCCAGUACAUUUCAGGAUAUUUAGAUUCCUCAGUCUCAGGCCAGCAAAACCCUGCAGGUAGAAGAUGAAAUCGUCUCUGUGUAAACAUAGGCAGACAUUUGCAUAUUUUAAAAUUGAUUGUGUUGGAGAAACGCUCUCCUCAAGCCCAGAGACCCAGGAGACUUUGCAGCCUGAACAUCCGCCCGGCGUUCUCCCCCGUUUAAAGGAAGGCAGCUUGGAGGGACAGCAAACGCGGCCUCCCUUACAACCGAAGCAGCAGAUUGAAUUUAAAUGAUAUUUUCGCCCUUCAGAAACUGUGACCGCAUUUUUUUUUUUUUAAAGGUAAAUCAUUAUCCGGCCGCUCUAUACCUAAACCUGUUCAGAAGAGUUAAGGUGCCUUUUUAAUGGACUCUCGUGACCCAAACUGGCUAAUUGCACUGUCAUUUGGAAAAUUUCAGCAUGGAACAAAUGUUUGAGCGAGGGGAAUCCAUGGAGUUAUGUAUUGCAGGAAAAACAAUGCAAGCCAUAUUGUCUCAGACUGGAGGGUUUUUGGUUUGUUUUGUGUUUUUGUGUUUUUUUUUUUUUUUUUUUUUCAGUGAGCGCUGACUGCUUUAGGGUUUUGUUUUGUUUUGGUUUGGUUUGUUAUUGUUUGGAGGGUUUUGCCUCUCCUGUGGGUCAUCCGUCAUCUUUGUGAUAUUUUUCCAGGAAAUCUCUGUUUCAGGCAUGGGCCCCGGAGUAGUCCCUGCUGAAGCUCCGUUUGCUCCCUCCAGGCCUCAAUUGGUCUUUCUACUCACAGGAUCCAUCACUUCCUUUUCAGCUUCUGAGAGUUUAUCACUCUUUUUUCUCCUGACUGACUUAGAUGCCUCUUUCUUC